GACGAGGGAUCCUAGCGUUGCUCGGAAUCAUUGGGCGUAAAGAGGGCGUAGGUGGCUUGGUAAGUCAGGUGUGAAAGCCCAGGGCUCAACCCUGGAAGUGCAUUUGAUACUGCUGAGCUUGAGUGUUGGAGAGGUUACCGGAAUACCUGGUGUAGUGGUGAAAUACGUAGAUAUCAGGUGGAACACCGGAGGCGAAGGCGGGUAACUGGCCAAACACUGACACUGAGGCCCGAAAGCGUGGGGAUCAAAC
rnacentral:rRNA from 1 species